CGCCGGAGAUUGUCAUGGACAUUUUUGUUGGUGUUGCUCAAUAGGAAUUUAUAUAAAACCAUUCUAAAAGUUAGUUUAAAUGUAUCUGUUCAUUUUUUUCCCUUGAACUCUUGAUUUUCUAUAAUGUCUUUUGUUCAUCAAAUCAUAAUGGAUGCCUUUCCAGUUGUAUUAUAGAUCCACUUUGAAGUACACUAAAAUAAAUGAAAACACUGAUCUCACCAUGUAUAUUGUACAAACAUGACAAAGGUCCAUCUCCUAUUAUUCAGUGACAUCACCAGACCAUUAAUACAUCAACAUUCUGGUCCUGUACAAAAUAUAAAUAUAAC
rnacentral:lncRNA from 1 species